AAUGAACGCUGGCGGCACGCUUAACACAUGCAAGUCGAACGAGAAAGUUCUUCGGAAUGAGUAAAGUGGCGAAUUGGUGAGUAACGCGUGGGGAUCUGCCUUUUAGUAGAGAAUAUGUUUAAGAAAUUGAAUUUAAUACUGUAUAUUUCCAUUUAUGGAGAAAGAUGGCCUCUUGCUAUCGCUAAAAGAUGAACCUGCGUACUAUUAGCUAGUUGGUAGGGUAAAAGCCUACCAAGGCGAUGAUGGUUAACCGGCCUGAGAGGGUGACCGGUCACAUUGGGACUGAGAUAUGGCCCUGACUCCUACGGGAGGCAGCAGUGGGGAAUUUUGCACAAUGGACGAAAGUCUGAUGCAGCAAUGCCGCGUGAAGGAUGAAGGUCUUAGGAUUGUAAACUUCUGUUGAUCAAGAAGAAAAGAUGUAAAAUAAUACUUUAUAUUUAUGACGUUAUUGAUAAAGAAAGCUCCGGCUAACUUCGUGCCAGCAGCCGCGGUAAUACGAAGGGAGCGAGCGUUAUUCGGAAUUAUUGGGCGUAAAGGGCGCGUAGGCGGUGCUAUAAGUUUAUUAUUUAAUCUCCCGGCCUAACUGGGAAAAUGUGAUAAAUACUGUGGUGCUAGAAUAUAAUAGAGAGGGAUGGAAUUUUCGGAGUAGCGGUAAAAUGCGUAGAUCUCGAAAGGAACGCCAAUGGCGAAGGCAGUCUCUUGGGUUAUUAUUGACGCUGAUGCGCGAAGGCGUGGGGAGCAAACAGGAUUAGAUACCCUGGUAGUCCACGCAGUAAACGAUGAUCACUAAACGUUUGGGCCUAUGGUCUGAGUGUUGUAGCUAACGCGAUAAGUGGUCCGCCUGGGUAGUACGAUCGCAAGAUUAAAACUUAAAGAAAUUGACGGGGGUCCGCACAAGCGGUGGAACAUGUGGUUUAAUUCGAUACUACGCGAGGAACCUUACCUGGGUUUGACAUAUAUGGGACAGUUGUAGAAAUACGAUCUUUAUAGGGAAACCUAUGACCCAUAUACAGGUGCUGCAUGGCUGUCGUCAGCUCGUGUCGUGAGAUGUUAGGUUAAGUCCUUUAACGAGCGCAACUCCUAUCAUUAAUUGCUAUCCUUUAUUGGAGCACUUUAAUGAGACUGCCUGGGAAACCAGGAGGAAGGGGGGAAUGAUGUCAAGUCCGCAUGGCCCUUAUAUCCAGGGCAACACACGUGUUACAAUGGCUGAUACAGAGAGUUGCAAACCAGUGAUGGUAAGCUAAUCUCAUAAAAUCAGUCUCAGUUCGGAUAGAAGUCUGCAAUUCGACUUCUUGAAGCUGAAAUCGCUAGUAAUCGCGCAUCAGAACGGCGCGGUGAAUACGUUCUCGGGCCUUGUACACACCGCCCGUCAAGCCAUGAAAGUUGUCUGCACCAGAAAGUAUUUUUGUUAACUGUUAAAAGAGACGAAUAUCGAAGGUGUGGGGGAUGAUUGGGGCU
rnacentral:rRNA from 1 species